GGUGGCCCAGUGGUAGGGUGCCUGCCUUGUAUGCAUGAGGCCCUGGGUUCAAUUCCUCAGCACCA
rnacentral:tRNA from 1 species